rnacentral:rRNA from 1 species
AUUGGACGCUGGCGGCAGGCCUAACACAUGCAAGUCGAACGGUAACAGGAAGAAGCUUGCUUCUUUGCUGACGAGUGGCGGACGGGUGAGUAAUGUCUGGGAAACUGCCUGAUGGAGGGGGAUAACUACUGGAAACGGUAGCUAAUACCGCAUAACGUCGCAAGACCAAAGAGGGGGACCUUCGGGCCUCUUGCCAUCGGAUGUGCCCAGAUGGGAUUAGCUAGUAGGUGGGGUAACGGCUCACCUAGGCGACGAUCCCUAGCUGGUCUGAGAGGAUGACCAGCCACACUGGAACUGAGACACGGUCCAGACUCCUACGGGAGGCAGCAGUGGGGAAUAUUGCACAAUGGGCGCAAGCCUGAUGCAGCCAUGCCGCGUGUAUGAAGAAGGCCUUCGGGUUGUAAAGUACUUUCAGCGGGGAGGAAGGGAGUAAAGUUAAUACCUUUACUCAUUGACGUUACCCGCAGAAGAAGCACCGGCUAACUCCGUG